UGCGCAGGCGGAAUAAUAAGUCAGUGGUGAAAGCCCACAGCUCAACUGUGGAAUUGCCAUUGAUACUGUUAUUCUUGAAUAUAGUUGAAGUUAGCGGAAUGUAUCAUGUAGCGGUGAAAUGCAUAGAUAUGAUACAGAACACCAAUUGCGAAGGCAGCUAACUAAGCUAUUAUUGACGCUCAGGCACGAAAGCGUGGGGAGCAAACAGGAUUAGAUACCCUGGUAGUCC
rnacentral:rRNA from 1 species